rnacentral:rRNA from 1 species
UCUACGGGAGGCAGCAGUGGGGAAUAUUGCACAAUGGGCGCAAGCCUGAUGCAGCCAUGCCGCGUGUAUGAAGAAGGCCUUCGGGUUGUAAAGUACUUCAGCGGGGAGGAAGGUGUGAGGUAAUACCCUCAGCAAUGACGUACCCGCAGAGAUGACCUAGCUCCC